UACGUAGGGGGCAAGCGUUGUCCGGAAUUAUUGGGCGUAAAGAGCUCGUAGGCGGUCUGUUGCGUCCGCUGUGAAAACUCGGGGCUUAACCCCGAGCCUGCAGUGGAUACGGGCAGACUAGAGGUAGGUAGGGGAGAAUGGAAUUCCCGGUGUAGCGGUGAAAUGCGCAGAUAUCGGGAGGAACACCGGUGGCGAAGGCGGUUCUCUGGGCCGUACCUGACGCUGAGGAGCGAAAGCGUGGGGAGCGAACAGG
rnacentral:rRNA from 1 species